GAUGAACGCUGGCGGCGUGCCUAAUACAUGCAAGUCGAGCGAACGGACGAGAAGCUUGCUUCUCUGAUGUUAGCGGCGGACGGGUGAGUAACACGUGGAUAACCUACCUAUAAGACUGGGAUAACUUCGGGAAACCGGAGCUAAUACCGGAUAAUAUUUUGAACCGCAUGGUUCAAAAGUGAAAGACGGUCUUGCUGUCACUUAUAGAUGGAUCCGCGCUGCAUUAGCUAGUUGGUAAGGUAACGGCUUACCAAGGUAACGAUGCAUAGCCGACCUGAGAGGGUGAUCGGCCACACUGGAACUGAGACACGGUCCAGACUCCUACGGGAGGCAGCAGUAGGGAAUCUUCCGCAAUGGGCGAAAGCCUGACGGAGCAACGCCGCGUGAGUGAUGAAGGUCUUCGGAUCGUAAAACUCUGUUAUUAGGGAAGAACAUAUGUGUAAGUAACUGUGCACAUCUUGACGGUACCUAAUCAGAAAGCCACGGCUAACUACGU
rnacentral:rRNA from 1 species